GACGAACGCUGGCGGCGUGCUUAACGCAUGCGAGUCGAACGGAAAGGCCCUGCUUUUGUGGGGUGCUCGAGUGGCGAACGGGUGAGUAACACGUGAGUAACCUGCCCUUGACUUUGGGAUAACUUCAGGAAACUGGGGCUAAUACCGGAUAGGAGCUCCUGCUGCAUGGUGGGGGUUGGAAAGUUUCGGCGGUUGGGGAUGGACUCGCGGCUUAUCAGCUUGUUGGUGGGGUAGUGGCUUACCAAGGCUUUGACGGGUAGCCGGCCUGAGAGGGUGACCGGCCACAUUGGGACUGAGAUACGGCCCAGACUCCUACGGGAGGCAGCAGUGGGGAAUAUUGCACAAUGGGCGGAAGCCUGAUGCAGCAACGCCGCGUGCGGGUUGACGGCCUUCGGGUUGUAAACCGCUUUCGCCUGUGACGAAGCGUGAGUGACGGUAAUGGGUAAAGAAGCACCGGCUAACUACGUG
rnacentral:rRNA from 1 species